CUUGGUCAUUUAGAGGAAGUAAAAGUCGUAACAAGGUUUCCGUAGGUGAACCUGCGGAAGGAUCAUUACAGAGUUCAUGCCCUCCGGGGUAGAUCUCCCACCCUUGUGUAUCAUUAUAAAAUGUUGCUUUGGCGGGCCGCAAGCCUGGCUUGCCCGGAUUCGCGUCCGGCGUGCCCGCCAGAGGAUCCUAAACUCUGAUUGUUAGUGUCGUCUGAGUACUAUUAAAUAGUUAAAACUUUCAACAACGGAUCUCUUGGUUCUGGCAUCGAUGAAGAACGCAGCGAAAUGCGAUAAGUAAUGUGAAUUGCAGAAUUCAGUGAAUCAUCGAAUCUUUGAACGCACAUUGCGCCCCUUGGUAUUCCGGGGGGCAUGCCUGUUCGAGCGUCAUUAAUACCAAUCUAGCCCGGCUAGGUGUUGGGCUUCGCCGUCUGGCGGGCCUUAAAAUCAGUGGCGGUGCUCUGCAGCUCUACGCGUAGUAAUUUUUCUCGCUAUAGGGCCUGUGGAGAUGCUUGCCAGCAACCCCAAAUUUUUCUAGGUUGACCUCGGAUCAGGUAGGGAUACCCGCUGAACUUAAGCAUAUCAAUAAGCGGAGGA
rnacentral:rRNA from 1 species